UAUCCAUGGUGGGGGCAAAGGGUUUGUAACUCUUGGUAUCUCUCCCAAACUUGGUAUAAGGUUUUACUAUCCUUUUAGGAAAAUGAGAAAAUUUGCUUCUUAAGGGC
rnacentral:snoRNA from 1 species